GACGAACGCUGGCGGCGUGCUUAACACAUGCAAGUCGAACGGAAAGGCCCUGCUUUUGUGGGGUGCUCGAGUGGCGAACGGGUGAGUAACACGUGAGUAACCUGCCCUUGACUUUGGGAUAACUUCAGGAAACUGGGGCUAAUACCGGAUAGGAGCUCCUGCUGCAUGGUGGGGGUGGGAAAGUUUCGGCGGUUGGGGAGGGACUCGCGGCCUAUCAGCUUGUUGGUGGGGUAGUGGCUUACCAAGCCUUUGACGGGUAGCCGGCCUGGGAGGGUGACCGGCCCCAUUGGGACUGGGAUGCGGCCCAGACUCCUCCGGGAGGCAGCAGUGGGGAAUAUUGCACAAUGGGCGGAAGCCUGAUGCAGCAAAGCCGCGUGCGGGAUGACGGCCUUCGGGUUGUAAACCGCUUUCGCCUGUGACGAAGCGUGAGUGACGGUAAUGGGUAAAGAAGCACCGGCUAACUACGUG
rnacentral:rRNA from 1 species